GCUUCUUAAAAGGGCAAAGCACAAUUUCUGGAGUGCAAUCGGUGGCAGGCAUUUAAUAGUUUUUGAGGGAUUUAAAGGGUUCACGGAGGCAAGCUGUGCAGUCCACUACAUCCACGCAAUUCCUGCAAGGGAAAAAAACACCAGUGGGACCCCUGCGAGUAUGGGCCAUGCACCUCUCAUCUCCUGAUGCCCAAUGUGUUCUUGUUGCACAAACACAAACUUUAAAUGUCGAGGGGAAGCACAGGGAAACGACACAACUGGCACUGCUGGAUUCAGUGUAAACCCCAGUUACAGUGACUAAACAUCAUGCUCAAAAGAUAUUCAUAUCAAGAAAUUUUACUAUUGUACUUUAUUCGACCAAAUCAAAUAUUUAAUGCGUUCAUUAUUUAAAAGAAUAUGAUCAAAUCA